GACGAACGCUGGCGGCGUGCUUAACACAUGCAAGUCGAACGGUGAAGGGGCCUGCUUUUGUGGGCCCUGGAUGAGUGGCGAACGGGUGAGUAACACGUGAGUAACCUGCCCCCUUCUUCUGGAUAACCGCAUGAAAGUGUGGCUAAUACGGGAUAUUCUGGGUCUGUCGCAUGAUGGGUCUGGGAAAGAUUGCGCCUUUGGGUGUUUUUGGUGGGGGAUGGGCUCGCGGCCUAUCAGCUUGUUGGUGGGGUGAUGGCCUACCAAGGCGGUGACGGGUAGCCGGCCUGAGAGGGUGGACGGUCACACUGGGACUGAGACACGGCCCAGACUCCUACGGGAGGCAGCAGUGGGGAAUAUUGCACAAUGGGCGCAAGCCUGAUGCAGCGACGCCGCGUGAGGGAUGGAGGCCUUCGGGUUGUAAACCUCUUUCGCCAGUGAAGCAGGCCUGCUCCUUGUGGGUGGGUUGACGGUAGCUGGAUAAGAAGCGCCGGCUAACUACGU
rnacentral:rRNA from 1 species